CCUACGGGUGGCAGCAGUGGGGAAUAUUGGGCAAUGGGCGCAAGCCUGACCCAGCAACGCCGCGUGAAGGAAGAAGGCUUUCGGGUUGUAAACUUCUUUUAAGAGGGAAGAGCAGAAGACGGUACCUCUUGAAUAAGCCACGGCUAACUACGUGCCAGCAGCCGCGGUAAUACGUAGGUGGCAAGCGUUGUCCGGAUUUACUGGGUGUAAAGGGCGUGCAGCCGGGAAGACAAGUCUGAUGUGAAAGGCCAGGGCUCAACCCUGGGACUGCAUUGGAAACUGUUUAACUGGAGUGUCGGAGAGGCAAGUGGAAUUCCUAGUGUAGCGGUGAAAUGCGUAGAUAUUAGGAGGAACACCAGUGGCGAAGGCGGCUUGCUGGACGAUGACUGACGCUGAGGCUCGAAAGCGUGGGGAGCAAACAGGAUUAGAUACCCUUGUAGUC
rnacentral:rRNA from 1 species